rnacentral:rRNA from 1 species
CAGUCGCCGCGGGAAUACGUAGGGUGCAAGCGUUAAUCGGGAUUACUGGGCGUAAAGCGUGCGCAGGCGGUUUGUUAAGACAGAUGUGAAAUCCCCGGGCUCAACCUGGGAACUGCAUUUGUGACUGGUAAGCUAGAGUGUGGCAGAGGGGGGUGGAAUUCCGCGUGUAGCAGUGAAAUGCGUAGAUAUGCGGAGGAACACCGAUGGCGAAGGCAGCCCCCUGGGCCAACACUGACGCUCAUGCACGAAAGCGUGGGGAGCAAACAGGAUUAGAUACCCCUGUAGUCCCUGUCUCUUAUAC